rnacentral:lncRNA from 1 species
GUGGAAAUGAUGAUUAUUUCCCCAGAUGAUCGAAAUUGAUUAUACUGAGCGCAUUUAAUUAUAUUCUCUAUUACGUUAUAGAGAAUCCAAGCCAGAAAUCUGAUCCUGUCUCUGUUUUUAUUGAUAAAAAUAUAAGUUCCUCUGUUGAUGAUUCAAAUAAAAACUUUCGUUCUUCCGAGGAUGAUAUCCGUCUAUGCGGAAACGAUUAUUGGAGACCUGAACUGAAGAGGC